GGUAAAAUGGCUGAUAAAGGCGAUAAAUUGUAAAUUUAUUUAUGAGAAUUUAAAUCUUUUGCU
rnacentral:tRNA from 1 species